ACCACAACGGGUGGAGCUUGUCGGUUUAAUUGGAUUCAACGCCGGAAAUCUUACCGGGACCGACAGCAAUAUGAAGGCCAGGCUGAAGACUUUGCCGGAUUAGCUGAGAGGUGGUGCAUGGCCGUCGUCAGUUCGUACUGUGAAGCAUCCUGUUAAGUCAGGCAACGAGCGAGACCCACGCCCACAGUUGCCAGCGUACUCUCUGGAGUGACGGGUACACUGUGGGACCGCCGCUGCUAAAGCGGAGGAAGGAAUGGGCAACGGUAGGUCAGUAUGCCCCGAAUAUCCCGGGCUACACGCGAGCUACAAUGGUUGGUACAAUGGGUAUCUACCCCGAAAGGGGACGGGAAUCUCCUAAAACCAAUCUUAGUUCGGAUUGAGGGCUGCAACUCGCCCUCAUGAAGCUGGAAUCCGUAGUAAUCGCGUUUCAACAGAACGCGGUGAAUACGUCCCUGCUCCUU
rnacentral:rRNA from 1 species